CCGGCCUCCCAAAGUGCUAGGAUUAGAGGCGUGAGUCACUGCGCCUGGCCCUUGAUGAGCUUUUAUUUAUGAAGUGCCUGACAUGGUGCCAAGGAUAAAGAACUGUGAAGAUUCUGCCUCUUACCGUUAGCAAAACUCGACUUCUAUCAACAAGGAUUUGAUGAGCACCUAAUAGCCGCCAGGCACUGUGUAAGGCAUGAGGAUCCCGUAUGAACAUGACAAAGUCCCUGGCCUGCCAGAACUAAUGGUCUAGGGGAAGGUGCAGAGAAAAAAAGUGGGCAAUUAUGAUAUAUAGUCCUGUGGGUGCUGCUCAGGUCAGGUGAUAUGGAAACAUGGAGAAAGGGCUCCUAACCCGGAUUGACGGAUCACAGAAGGCUGCCUGGAGGAGAUGGCAGGAGUGGAAGCCAUAAAGGAUAGGCAAGAGAUGGCCAGGAGACUGGAGGCAAGAGGUGGGCCUGCAGGGCACUGAACUGGAACUGCGUGGCGCGGAGGUGGGCAUCAGAAAGCCCGGGAAGGGGGAAUCUGGCUGGCAUCAUCACACAAAGGACGACCGAGUCACCGAGUGAGGAGAGCUGUGGGUCAUAACAGGAGAAGCAGCCGGCGGCAGAACACAGAGGGCCCUGAACAUUCAGGAGUCAGGCAAGGAGCACAAGGUCCUCGCUUCCCGGAGUUUCUGGACGUGAACAGAAAGCAACACUUUGAUGAUCAUGUGGGCAGGAGAGGGAUGAACUUUGGUGGGGUGAGGGGCAGGGAAACCGGACUUUUAGGCUCUCUGAGCAUCCCACCAAGUGGCUGUCGGUUCAGAAGACCUGUCCCCAGGGCGACUAAUGUCUGCACAAGAAUUGACUCAGGUGUUGCUGCUCUCAGUACGGUAGAAAAGGUUUCUAACAGUGGUGCGUUGGAGCUGCCCCAACCAGCACGUGAGAGCUGAUGGUUACAUGAUGAGGGCCAGGGGCUACGAAAUAAUACUCUGCUUUCCUCUCCUGCCUUCAGACCCAGCAGAGAAACAGGAAAUGAGAGGCAGACGAAAGGAGAUCAAGCUGUCAGCUUGAUUCCUGACACAGGCAUCAUCUUCAUCCCUAUACUGAACUUCCCAGCACUCACGCUCUGCAGACCUCCUUCUUCAGGGGACACUUCUCAAAAGAAGACAUUUAUGCGGCCAAAAAACAUCAUCACUGGUCAUUAGAGAAAUGCAAAUCAAAACCACAAUGAGAUACCAUCUCAUGCCAGUUAGAAUGGUGAUCAUUAAAAAGUCAGGAAACAACAGAUGCUGGAGAGGAUGUGGGGAAAUAGGAACACUUUUACACUGUUGUAUAAAUUAGUUCAAUUAUUGUGGAAGACAGUGUGUUGAUUCCUCAGGGAUCUAGAACCAGAAAUACCAUUUGACCCAGUAAUCCCAUUACUGGGUAUAUACCCAAAGGAUUGUAAAUCAUUCUACUAUAAAGACACAUGCACACGUAUGUUUAUUGCAGCACUAUUCACAGUGGCAAAGACUUGGAACUGAGCCUAAUGAGAAAUGCCCAUCAAUGAUAGACUGGAUAAAGAAAAUGUGGCACAUAUACACUAUGGAAUACUAUGCAGCCAUAAAAAAGGAUGAGUUCUUGUCCUUUGCAGGGACAUGGAUGAAGCUGGAAACCAUCAGUUUCAGCAAACUAACACAGGAACAGAAAACCAAACACCACAUGUUCUCACUCAGAAGUGGGAGCUGAACAAUGAAAACACAUGGACACAGGGAGGGGAACAUCAUACACCGGGGCCUGUCGGGGGGUGAGGGGCUAGGGGAGGGAUAGCAUUAGGAGAAAUACCUAAUGUAGAU
rnacentral:lncRNA from 10 species